rnacentral:rRNA from 1 species
GUGAGGAAUAUUGGUCAAUGGGCGAGAGCCUGAACCGGCCAAGUCGCGUGAAGGAAGAAGGAUCUAUGGUUCGUAAACUUCUUUUGCAGGGGAAUAAAGUGCGGGACGUGUCCUGUUUUGUAUGUACCCUGAGAAUAAGGAUCGGCUAACUCCGUGCCAGCAGCCGCGGUAAUACGGAGGAUCCGAGCGUUAUCCGGAUUUAUUGGGUUUAAAGGGUGCGUAGGUGGUUUGAUAAGUCAGCGGUGAAAGUUUGCAGCUUAACUGUAAAAAUGCCGUUGAAACUGUCGGACUUGAGUGUAAAUGAGGUAGGCGGAAUGCGUGGUGUAGCGGUGAAAUGCAUAGAUAUCACGCAGAACUCCGAUUGCGAAGGCAGCUUACUAAGCUACAACUGACACUGAAGCACGAAAGCGUGGGGAUCAAACAGGAUUAGAUACCCGAGUAGUCC